rnacentral:rRNA from 1 species
AACUAACGCUGGCGGCGUGCCUAACACAUGCAAGUCGUACGAGAAAGUUGGCUUCGGCCGAUGAGUAAAGUGGCGCACGGGUGAGUAAUGCGUGGAUAAUCUGCCCUUUAGUUGGGAAUAACGUACCGAAAGGUGCGCUAAUACCUGAUAAUACUGCAUAACUACUGUUGUGUAGUCAAAGAAGGCCUCUGUUUACAAGCUUUUGCUGAAGGAUGAGUCCGCGUACCAUUAGCUGGUUGGUGGGGUAAUGGCCUACCAAGGCUACGAUGGUUAGCUGGUCUGAGAGGAUGAUCAGCCACACUGGAACUGAGACACGGUCCAGACUCCUACGGGAGGCAGCAGUGAGGAAUAUUGCGCAAUGGGGGCAACCCUGAUGCAGCGACGCCGCGUGAGUGAAGAAGGUCUUCGGAUCGUAAAACUCUGUCCUUGGUGAAGAAAAGGACGGUAGCCAAGGAGGAAGCCCCGGCUAACUACGUG